AGAGGAGUCGGAAGAUGUUCUUUUCAAGCAGGCAUGGCUUGCAUAUUUCUGGAGGAGAGCCAAAGCCCAUUGUGUGGAAGAAGAUAUUGCUGAAGACAGGUUGCAAUUUUGGAUUGGUCGCAGUGGGCACCCAACUUCUCAUGAUGCUGUUGAUGUGGAAAGAGGCCUAAUGGAAUUGAGGAAACUAGGGAUCGAGCAACAGUUAUGGGAAGCUUCCCGUAGGGAGAUAGAGCUAGCCUCUCCAGCGAGUAAUCUAAAGGAUACAGAGAUGGCAUAGGUGUUGAUCGUGAACAUACCCAGUUUUUCCUCUGUUAAUGAUGUACCUAUCGUUCGAUGCCAAUGCCAAAGGAUA
rnacentral:misc_RNA from 1 species